rnacentral:rRNA from 1 species
GAUGAACGCUGGCGGCGUGCCUAAUACAUGCAAGUCGAACGAAGAUCUAGCUUGCUAGAUCUUAGUGGCGAACGGGUGAGUAAUACAUAAAUAAUCUGCCCAUAUGACUGGGAUAACUAUUGGAAACGAUAGCUAAUACCGGAUAGGUUGAUCGGAGGCAUCUCUGAUGAAUUAAAGUAGGAUUUCUACACAAAUGGAUGAGUUUAUGGCGAAUUAGUUAGUUGGUGGGGUAACGGCCUACCAAGACGAUGAUGCGUAGCCGACCUGAGAGGGUGACCGGCCACACUGGGACUGAGACAUGGCCCAGACUCCUACGGGAGGCAGCAGUAGGGAAUUUUCGGCAAUGGGCGCAAGCCUGACCGAGCAACGCCGCGUGAGUGAUUAAGGCCUUCGGGUUGUAAAGCUCUGUUGUAAGGGAAGAACAUUCAGGAUAGGAAAUGAUCUUGAACUGACGGUACCUUACCAGAAAGCCACGGCUAACUACGUGCCAGCCGCCGCUGUAAAAC